GGCUGGGGCCAGAGGUAGUUUCCUGCCAGCAGCCCAAGAGGAAAGAGCUCUGUCUUGGAAGAGAGGGGAGGCCUGACUGCAGGAGGAGCAUUUGGCACUGCUGAGGGAUGGAGUAAUCCCCGGGCUGGGAGACAUUCAUACAGCUCUUCAUAAAGAGAAGAACACGGAUAUGUACAGAAAACCAACUUGGAAUGAGUGCUCAGUGCAGUCCUGUGGCAAGGAGGACUAACAUGAUCCUAGGAUGCACAAAACAUGAAAAUAUCAAGUAAAAGACAUUUGGCACUCUGCAGAUGAAUGGACAGUUAACUGGAAUUAAUGACCCAUAUGGCACAGUCUCAGCUGUCAAGGCCUACCAGUUAGUCAUUAAUCCACCAGAAAUGCCCUACAUGUCAACAAUCACUAUUGCCUAAGGAGAAGCAGCUGGAAGUAAGCUCAAAGACUGUUCAAAUUGAACAAAACUCUUCUGAACUGUAAUUAUCAGGAUGUGAGUCCCAACUCUAGAAGGGUCCCUCCUGGUCAGUUUUUGUAAGCACUUGUGUGGGGCAGCAUGGGGGAAGCUUGCCCCGGCAAUGCUCCUACUGAAUGUGAUGUGAGGAUAAGCAGACAGUUCUGUGGCUCUCAGCCAAAUGACUUUCACCAGCACUAAAUUAGUCUGGAACAAACAUUUUCAAAGUGAACCUUUUAUAGCCCUAUGUCAUUUGGAUUCCCUUCCAUUAAAGGCUCACUUGCUCGCUCUCUCUUUCCUAUUCCAUCUUUUCCUGCUGUCCUUAUUUCCAUUCCUUUUCCAUGUUUUUUCCCCCCUCUGUUCCUGUACUGCCUUUCUCUCUCCCUGAUGCAUCUUGCUUGAUCUCUCCCAUUACUGCUAUAAACAACCUGGGGCUUUGGGUGGGUGCAGCUCAGAGGAUCACCCUGGCUAGGAGAUCACUCCAAGGGCAUCCCUAAAAUUGGAGCUAAUUGAAAGGAAAAGUACAAGGCCUGUCACCGAUGCACAAAUCAAUCUCAGCUUGAAAUAGCAAACUAGGACAAGCAAGCUAGGGAAGCGGCUUAGGAAACUGCAAUUCUUUCCUUACUGAAUAAAAAAGGAAAAAAAUUAAAACCAAAACCAGAUUUCUCUUUAAUCCAUUAAAACUUCUUUUGGGGAAAAAUAAUGGAGUGAAUAAGACUACAAUACAGAUUUUAUUUCGAUAGCGCUUUUCCCACUGAAGUGCCAAGGCAUUUCCCAGCACAAACAAAUGUAUAAUAAAACUGGCUAAAAAUAAUGUGAAGGUUGUUAUUUUUAAAAAAAAUGUAAAAUGUUACCCUGAUUUGAUAUACAGCCCAUACCAAAGAAAACAGGAGGGAAUGUGGUUCAUUGCUAAAUCCAAAGGGAAAGGCAAGCUGAAAAGCAACAGCCUUCAAGUCUGUCAGUGCCACAGCACCAGUGAGAGGCAGAACUUCCACUACUUCUGGUACACCCACAUUCAUGUUGGUGUCAUAGAUAGAAAGGGAAGAGGGGCUUGACCUGGUGUCCAUUAAUGUCAAGGGAAAGGUGCAUUGAAAGAGGCUCUUGUUAAGAAUUCCCUGGGCUAGUAAUUUUCCUUACAGGUGGGAGUUUUCAGUGAAUUCAUUAAAGACCAGCUUUUGGUUGCUCCCUCAGUGGGCUUGUGCAUCUGCAUGGUGAAAUGAGUAAAUACAACCUCUUGGGGAGGUGAUAGACAACCCCAGCACUUGUGCUCCUUACAGGCAAGAUGAGGGAGGUUUCACCAUGCAGCCAACAGUGGUGGACAAUGGGCAUGCCACAGAGGUACUGAUUAAUGACCAGAAUGAUGCUAGAGGGCAUGGAGGAGGUGACAUAUUCUGGAUGAGAUAAAGCCCUGAAGCCUGGGGAGUUUAUGAUCGCUAAGGAUUCCAGAGCUGUUUCUGUACUUCCUGAUAUUCUGUCUUCUGGCUGGCUGGAUUGGGAGACCUCUCUCACCUUGCACUAGAGUACAAUCAUCCAGACUUGACUAUACUAAUCAUGGUCUUUAAAGGGACCAUGGUUUCUUAUCCCAUGACCUGGGUGAGCCGUUAACUCUUGUUAACUUCCUUAUUUUCAUCUCAAUUGAUCUAUUCAACCCACUCAUAAUUCAUUUAGAAGGGUCCCUUCUCCUUAUUUUUUUUCCUUUCUACAUAAAAGGUUUUCUGUCUACCAGUCCUUUCACAGUAUCUGAAGGAGUAGCUUGUUGCCUAUGAAAGCUUCAUGCAUCUCUGAAACAGUUCCUCUCAAAAGGUACAGACACCCUACUUCACCCAGUGUUAAAGUUGGAGUGGUUUUGCUACAUUUGUAUUAAUCUCAGUUUGUCAACAGGUAACAAUCAGAACACAGUAGUUACUGCCCUUCUGAAAUGUUCCCUUUUUGAAAGAGCUCCAAAUAUUAAUGUGCCCAUACCAUAGGGUAAUACCUUGCCCUAGUUUUUGCCUCCUUGCUGGAGAGGCUAAUCUUUGAUUUCCUGCAUAUAGACAGUGGUGUCAUUGCUAGUGGAGAAUUGCUGUCAUGUUCUGCCCCAGACAUGAUUGCAUUUCAUGAGUGAACACAUUCACCCUUUAUUAUAUGUAUGGACUAUAAUGUACUUUGGGAUCCUUUAAAAUGAAAGAUGCUGUAGAAACAUAAAGCUAUUAGUUUUAUUAUACUGCUAAUGAGAGUUUCUACAUGGAAGUCAGGACAGCUUUUUUCCAGUCUCCUCUGUCACUUUUUUUUGUGUGUGUGGUUAUUUUUAGUCAUGUGCUUACAUAUACACUGUGAGUAUGUGUGUUGGUGUGUAAUAAUGGUCAAUCUAGUUCUUUGCUGAAAUACCACAGACUUGAUCUUUUAGGCUAGGGACAGAUAAUACACACAAACCGGUUUAAGUGAUCAUAAACUAGUUUAAACCUGUAACAGAAUAGAUGUUCAGUGCACAUAAACUAGUUUGAAAAUGGCUGACAGCGGUUUGAAAUAAACCUGGUUGAAUGUAGUAUCAGACUUAACUGAUUUGGCUCAAACUGGUUUAUGCAAUGUAUGUCCCAGACCCCUUGCUGAUUUAAGCUAAACCAGACACCCCCAGCAUGUUCUGUGGGCUGGGCAGGGCACUCUGCUCCACAGAAGAGUUGGCCCCUCCCUUCUGCUCCCUGGCUGGAGCUCCAGCAGACACAGCAGGGUCUGCCUGGCUUCCCCCUACCCUUGCUGCUCAAACAGAACUCGCCCCCUUCCUCCCUCCCAUCUUCCACAGCAUGGAGCCCAGCCCCAUGGAGCCUAGGCAUGUGGUUUGCUAGCUAACCGAGAGGGGUGUGUGUGUGUGUGUGUGUGUGUGUGUGUGUGUGUGUGUGUGUGUGUGUGUGUGUGUGUGUGUGUGUGUGUGUGUGUGUCCAGUUUCACUGGGACAGGCAGACAGAACAUCGACCACUUAGGGCUUUUUGGAGCUAAUCAACAGGUCAGCUGGUAAGCUGUUUAAGAAGAGUUUGAACUAGUGGAGAGAGGCUAUUGUUUUGCUGAUGGGGUGAUUAAACACUUAUCAACUCCCUGCUGGCUUGCUUGCCUGUCAGUUUGCUGAAGACAGUAUAAGGAAGCAGGAGGGGGAGAUUGAAAAGCUCCGUAUCAUCAACAGAUGCAUGCACUGCACACACCCACCUUGCAUCAGAGUGCUAGCAGGGGGCUGGAUGUGGCAACACUCCCACCCUUUGAGCAGCCAGCAGGGAAAAGCCUGGGAUGGUGCAGGCAGACCUGCCUAAUCAGAACGUCCUGCCAGGGCCUAGCCACAUCCCCUCGGCUCAGUACUAUAAAAGGGAAAGGAGGGCAGCUCUAAGUGCCCCGGCUUCUAGCCUGAGCCACUGCCGGCAUGUGCUGGCAUUCCCUCAAUCCAGAGACAAUGUCUGUCCAGUUACAAACCAGUUAAGCCUAGCCAGGUUAGACUAACCUGCAAAGAUUGAAUCCAUUCAGGCUCAGGCUUUUUGAAUGUCUGUCCCUAGCCUUCCAGUUGUAUGUCUAAAACAAUUAAUAUUUUUCUGAACUUCUAUGGGGUAUUUUAUUCUCAGACUCCACUGGCAUUUAUACCAAUAUCAGACCUUCUAAAAAUACUGUUAUAUGUUUGUUUUAGAGAUGACAUAUGUUUUAAAAUGAAAUAAAUGAAAGUGAAACCCCAGCACUUCUAUCCCUAAUAAAGAUGGACCUCCACAGACUGCUGUGGACUGGCAAUCAUAGUUUUGCUGGGCUUUGUGGGAUCCUCUGAAUCUUGCUGUCCAGAAGAUGGAGACAUCAAUAUUACUCUGUACUUCUGAAACUCAAGAUUUUUUACUGAUGUUAUCAAAUGACAUCCCUAUGGUAUAGAACUAGUUUUUUAAAACUAAGUUCACAGAGGAAAAAAAAAAUAACAUGAAGUGAAGCAAAGAACCUAAUUUUGGACACCUCAGUUUGAGUGCUCAGACAUAUGCAUACAUGGCUAGAUUCUCCAAACCAGGGCAGAUUUUCAAGCACUCGGGACUUCCAAUCCAGGUCAGGGUGAAAAGACCUCAGCUCCCAUUUAAUCAUCAGAACAAGAGCUAGAAAUCCCAAAAGGUUCACACUCACUAGGUUCCAAUGUGACACUUAUGCAAGAAAUGGACAGCACAAAACUUGAGUUUAACAGGCCCAGUUUAUGUCAGAAUCUCUUCCUAAGAGCUUGAAUUGCAGAGAUGCUGAGCCCUAUGCUACCACCUGAAGUGAAUUGGUGCUCAUCCCAUCUGAAAAUCACCCUCACCCUCUCCCAUGGAGAGAAGAGAUAGGUCUUGGUCCAUAAUUCUCCUAUCUUAACUCCUGAACAACAAGGCCUCCUGGAGAGGAUGAGGGAAAAGCAGCUUUCAGGGCUGGGAAGAUACAGAAGUAGGAAAGAACAGCACCAGCAGUAGUAAUGGCUCCUACUGAUCGUGGUGUGAACAGCACAGUCUAUAUAACCAGGGAAGGAGAUCAGCAAAUUGAUCUAUCUAAAGUCACCAAUCCCAUUACCAUAGUGUUUAACUGGGAUGGCCAGUUUGCAAAAGGAUUCCCAUUGCUGCUGGAGAGCAUGUGCCUACCACAGACAAACAGCCUGUCAGUGCAACUCAGCACCUCACUCAGAGGGAGCCCAAGCCAUUGCAGAUGCAGGGCAGGCACAGGUUCCUUCCAGCUCAUGAUUUAUGUAGGGACUCCAUCCUACUCUCAAAAAUUGUAAUGGGAGCAGGGCUGGCAGUUGUAUACUGUAUUUUCUAACAACCAACUCACACUUGAAUAAAAAUAUGCACCCUGUUUUUGAAAGGCAAAAUAUUUUUUUGUUGUUUAAAAGAUCUUAUCUUGAGAAUAUUGGUAAGUAGCAGUAAGUGAGUAGCAGCUUCUGCAGCAAAGCCUCUGCUGGGGGAAAGAGAAAAUGUCUACAACCAGCAGCAAGGCAACCUCACCUGCAGUACUGUAGUGUUACUUUUUCUCCCUCCCCUUUUUUCCCUCUUACCUCCCACCAUCCCCAGUAGAGGCAGAAACUACUAUUACUAUAUUUCCUCACUUAUAAUGUGCACCCAAUUACAAGCAGCCAAAUUAUGGAAAAAAGUGUGUAUUGUAUGUGAGAACAUAUGGUGUAUAAACUAUAGGUUCCUCACAGACAUGAAAAAACAAAAACAAAAAAAGGCACUUUACCAGAACAGGCAGCACAUUAUUUGGACCUGGCUCUACAACAUCUCUAUAGAUUGGGCACUUCAGCAGAGCUUU